rnacentral:rRNA from 1 species
UACGUAGGUGGCAAGCGUUGUCCGGAAUUAUUGGGCGUAAAGCGCGCGCAGGCGGUCCUUUAAGUCUGAUGUGAAAGCCCACGGCUCAACCGUGGAGGGUCAUUGGAAACUGGGGAACUUGGGUGCAGAAGAGGAAAGUGGAAUUCCAAGUGUAGCGGUGAAAUGCGUAGAGAUUUGGAGGAACACCAGUGGCGAAGGCGACUUUCUGGUCUGUAACUGACACUGAGGCGCGAAAGCGUGGGGAGCAAACGGG